AGUGAACGCUGGCGGUAGGCCUAACACAUGCAAGUCGAACGGCAGCACAGUAAGAGCUUGCUCUUACGGGUGGCGAGUGGCGGACGGGUGAGGAAUACAUCGGAAUCUACUUUUUCGUGGGGGGUAACGUAGGGAAACUUACGCUAAUACCGCAUACUACCUACGGGUGAAAGCAGGGGAUCUUCGGACCUUUCGCGAUUGAAUGAGCCGAUUUCGGAUUAGCUAGUUGGCGGGGUAAGGGCCCACCAAGGCGACGAUCCGUAGCUGGUCUGAGAGGAUGAUCAGCCACACUGGAACUGAGACACGGUCCAGACCCCUACGGGAGGCAGCAGUGGGGAAUAUUGGACAAUGGGCGCAAGCCUGAUCCAGCCAUACCGCGGGGGUGAAGAAGGCCUUCGGGUUGUAAAGCCCUUUUGUUGGGAAAGAAAAGCAGCAGGUUAAUACCCCGCUGUUCUGACGGUACCCAAAGAAUAAGCACCGGCUAACUUCGU
rnacentral:rRNA from 1 species